GCGAGAACCAACGGGAAAGUGCGAAAACCUGACUGUUAAUCAGGAGGUCGCUGGUUCGAAUCCAGCCGCCCCA
rnacentral:tRNA from 1 species